rnacentral:sRNA from 1 species
UCACGGAAAAUGUCCUUCCCUAAUUGA